GACGAACGCUGUCGGCGUGCUUAACACAUGCAAGUCGAACGGAAAGGCCCUGCUUUUGUGGGGUGCUCGAGUGGCGAACGGGCGAGUAACACGUGAGUAACCUGCCCUUGACUUUGGGAUAACUUCAGGAAACUGGGGCUAAUACCGGAUAGGAGCUCCUGCUGCAUGGUGGGGGUUGGAAAGUUUCGGCGGUUGGGGAUGGACUCGCGGCUUAUCAGCUUGUUGGUGGGGUAGUGGCUUACCAAGGCUUUGACGGGUAGCCGGCCUGAGAGGGUGACCGGCCACAUUGGGACUGAGAUACGGCCCAGACUCCUACGGGAGGCAGCAGUGGGGAAUAUUGCACAAUGGGCGGAAGCCUGAUGCAGCAACGCCGCGUGCGGGAUGACGGCCUUCGGGUUGUAAACCGCUUUCGCCUGUGACGAAGCGUGAGUGACGGUAAUGGGUAAAGAAGCACCGGCUAACUACGUGCCAGCAGCCGCGGUGAUACGUAGGGUGCGAGCGUUGUCCGGAUUUAUUGGGCGUAAAGGGCUCGUAGGUGGUUGAUCGCGUCGGAAGUGUAAUCUUGGGGCUUAACCCUGAGCGUGCUUUCGAUACGGGUUGACUUGAGGAAGGUAGGGGAGAAUGGAAUUCCUGGUGGAGCGGUGGAAUGCGCAGAUAUCAGGAGGAACACCAGUGGCGAAGGCGGUUCUCUGGGCCUUUCCUGACGCUGAGGAGCGAAAGCGUGGGGAGCGAACAGGCUUAGAUACCCUGGUAGUCCACGCUGUAAACGGUGGGUACUAGGUGUGGGGUCCAUUCCACGGGUUCCGUGCCGUAGCUAACGCUUUAAGUACCCCGCCUGGGGAGUACGGCCGCAAGGCUAAAACUCAAAGGAAUUGACGGGGCCCCGCACAAGCGGCGGAGCAUGCGGAUUAAUUCGAUGCAACGCGUAGAACCUUACCUGGGUUUGACAUGGAUCGGGAGUGCUCAGAGAUGGGUGUGCCUCUUUUGGGGUCGGUUCACAGGUGGUGCAUGGCUGUCGUCAGCUCGUGUCGUGAGAUGUUGGGUUAAGUCCCGCAACGAGCGCAACCCUUGUUCACUGUUGCCAGCACGUUAUGGUGGGGACUCAGUGGAGACCGCCGGGGUCAACUCGGAGGAAGGUGGGGAUGACGUCAAGUCAUCAUGCCCCUUAUGUCCAGGGCUUCACGCAUGCUACAAUGGCUGGUACAGAGAGUGGCGAGCCUGUGAGGGUGAGCGAAUCUCGGAAAGCCGGUCUCAGUUCGGAUUGGGGUCUGCAACUCGACCUCAUGAAGUCGGAGUCGCUAGUAAUCGCAGAUCAGCAACGCUGAGGUGAAUACGUUCCCGGG
rnacentral:rRNA from 1 species